rnacentral:rRNA from 1 species
UUAGAUACCCUGGUAGUCCACGCAGUAAACGAUGAAUACUAGCUGUUCGGGGCAAAUGAGCCUUGAGUGGCACAGCGAAAGCGUUAAGUAUUCCACCUGGGGAGUACGCCGGCAACGGUGAAACUCAAAGGAAUUGACGGGGGCCCGCACAAGCGGAGGAACAUGUGGUUUAAUUCGAUGAUACGCGAGGAACCUUACCCGGGCUCAAACGCAACCGGAAUGUAUCUGAAAGGAUACAGCUCUACGGAGCCGGUUGCGAGGUGCUGCAUGGUUGUCGUCAGCUCGUGCCGUGAGGUGUCGGCUUAAGUGCCAUAACGAGCGCAACCCCUAUCGACAGUUGCUAACGAGUCAAGUCGAGGACUCUGUCGAGACUGCCGGCGCAAGCUGUGAGGAAGGCGGNGAUGACGUCAAAUCAGCACGGCCCUUACGUCCGGGGCGACACACGUGUUACAAUGGCGACUACAGCGGGAAGCCACUUGGCGACAAGGAGCGGAACCCGAAAAGUCGUCUCAGUUCGGAUUGGAGUCUGCAACUCGACUCCAUGAAGCUGGAUUCGCUAGUAAUCGCGCAUCAGCCAUGGCGCGGUGAAUACGUUCCCGGGCCUUGUACACACCGCCCGUCAAGCCAUGGAACCCGGGGGUGCCUGAANUGCGUGACCGCAAGGAGCGCCCUAAGUAAAACCCGUGACUUGGGCUAAGUCGUAACAAG